rnacentral:rRNA from 1 species
UACGGAGGGUGCAAGCGUUGUCCGGAAUCACUGGGCGUAAAGGGCGCGUAGGCGGCUCAUGAAGGCUGUGGUGAAAGUCCGGGGCUCAACCUCGGAUCGGCCGUGGCGACUCGUGGGCUGGAGCACUGUAGAGGCAGGCGGAAUUCCGGGUGUAGCGGUGGAAUGCGUAGAGAUCCGGAAGAACACCGGUGGCGAAGGCGGCCUGCUGGGCAGUUUGCUGACACUGAGGCGCGACAGCGUGGGGAGCAAACAGG